AAUAUUGCGCAAUGGAGGGAACUCUGACGCAGCGACGCCGCGUGAGCGAUGAAGGNUUNNGGAUCNUNAAGCUCUGUCCUUGGNNNNNAAGGCGGCCAUUUUUUGGCCACUUGACGGUACCCCAGGAGGAAGCCCCGGCUAACUACGUGCCAGCAGCCGCGGUAAUACGUAGGGGGCAAGCGGUGUCCGGAAUUAUUGGGCGUAAAGGGUGCGUAGGCGGCCUUUUAAGUCAGAUGUGAAAGACCACGGCUUAACCGUGGGGUUGCAUUUGAAACUGGAGGGCUUGAGUAUCGGAGAGGGUAGUGGAAUUCCCAGUGUAGCGGUGGAAUGCGUGGAUAUUGGGAGGAACACCAGUGGCGAAGGCGACUACCUGGACGAAAACUGACGCUGAGGCACGAAAGCUAGGGGAGCAAACA
rnacentral:rRNA from 1 species